GCAUAUCAAUAAGCGGAGGAAAAGAAACCAACAGGGAUUACCUCAGUAACGGCGAGUGAAGCGGUAACAGCUCAAAUUUGAAAUCUGCCGCAAGGCCGAGUUGUAAUUUGUAGAAGAUGCUUUGGGUAUGGCCCCGGUCUAAGUUCGUUGGAACACGACGUCAUAGAGGGUGAGAAUCCCGUAUGUGACUGGGUGCUUUUGCCUAUGUAAAGCUCUUUCGACGAGUCGAGUUGUUUGGGAAUGCAGCUCAAAAUGGGUGGUAUAUUUCAUCUAAAGCUAAAUAUUGGCCAGAGACCGAUAGCGCACAAGUAGAGUGAUCGAAAGAUGAAAAGCACUUUGGAAAGAGAGUUAAACAGUACGUGAAAUUGUUGAAAGGGAAGCGCUUGCAACCAGACUUGCACGCUGUUGAUCAUCCAGGCUUCUGUUUGGUGCACUCAACUGCGUUCAGGCCAGCAUCGGUUUUGGUGGUGGGAUAAAGGCCUUGGGAAUGUAGCUUCUUUCGGGGAGUGUUAUAGCCCUCGGUGCAAUGCCGCCUACCGGGACCGAGGACCGCGCUUCGGCUAGGAUGCUGGCGUAAUGGUUGUAAGCGACCCGUCUUGAAACACGGACCAAGGAGUCUAACAUCUAUGCGAGUGUUUGGGUGUCAAACCCAUACGCGUAAUUAACGUGAACGGAGGUGAGAACCCUUAAGGGUGCAUCAUCGACCGAUCCUGAUGUCUUCGGAUGGAUUUGAGUAAGAGCAUAGCUGUUGGGACCCGAAAGAUGGUGAACUAUGCCUGAAUAGGGUGAAGCCAGAGGAAACUCUGGUGGAGGCUCGCAGCGGUUCUGACGUGCAAAUCGAUCGUCAAAUUUGGGUAUAGGGGGCGAAAGACUAAUCGAACCAUCUAGUAGCUGGUUCCUGCCGAAG
rnacentral:rRNA from 1 species